GUUCCGUAUUAUUCCUAUUCGACCAGAGGACCACUAUUUACUGGGUAUGAAAUGGCAGGGCAUGUAUUAUUAUGAUCGAUGCCUUCCUAUGGGGGCAGCCAGCUCGUGUAAAACAUUUGAAAUUUUUAGUACGGCUAUACAGUGGAUUGCUCAACAAAAACUUCUCAUCGAUUCUAUUUUACAUUUACUUGAUGAUUUUCUCCUUAUAUCACCAUCUUAUGACACCUGUGCAGUUCGGUUAAAACGUUUUUUCGAUUUUUGCGCUUUUAUUGGAUUGCCCAUGGCACCGGAAAAAACGUGUGGUCCUUCAACCACGCUUUGUUUUGCAGGUAUUGAGUUAGACACGAUCAGAUUUGAGGCCCGUUUACCUUUGGAAAAAUUGAGAAAAUGUGUUGACCUUAUUUCUGAUUUUCAAAAGCGUAAGAAGAUUACCUUAAGGGAAAUUCA